UUUCUUCAGGAAUAACUCCUGAUAUUUUAUUAUUUGAGAGGUCCAUACUUCUCACGAAAUUAAGAUUGGUGGAAUAUUCAAUCAUUUCUCCCUUUGUCAUAAUUGAGGAACUAUCAGAAAAAAGUGAGGGUCCACCAGCAGAAAAGAUGAUUUGACCUUCAUUUCCCAUAGCAUGAUGCCUUUCAUUUACCAUUUCAAUAAAGUUAUUGAUACAUGUUGGUAUGGUACCGCUGAGGUUGUUAUUGGCAAGAUCCAAGAUUUGCAAAUAA
rnacentral:misc_RNA from 1 species